rnacentral:lncRNA from 1 species
ACCCCCACCCACACAUGAAAGCCGGCCCCGGGGGUGCCAGAAACUGACCACAGAUCAAUAUGCCUCCCUGAUCAGCUGCCUCGUGCCAGUGAGGCCACCGAGAUCCUGGGCUCAUCUGUGACAGCAGUUCGCAUUGCCUUGACUAAUCAAGCUUCGGAGGUGAAGACCAAAGGCCCCCUGCCCUCGGGAGUUUGCAGGACACGGGGAGAUGGCAAACGUAGAGGCUGUAACCCAAGAUGAGAAAACUGAGGCUCAGACGGUUGGUGAUGCGCCGCUCGAGGGUGCGUGGUCAGGAAGGUCGGAGCUGAGCCUGUCCGUUGCCCUGCCCUGCCUUUCCUGGGCUGCCUUUUGACUGGAUCCCAUGUCAGUCGACUUUCUGCUCCUCUCUCAGCUUUGCGCUUUGUCUGCGCUCCAAUGGGUACCAUCUAGCAAGCAGCUGUACCUCCCAGCAUCCCACCCCAUCCUCUUGGGGGUCCCUGCUGUUUCCCCAGUGACCAUUCAGAGGCCAGGGGUCUGUUUUUGUGGGGGAGGGGGAGGGACAUAAAUCACAUCUUGACCCAUCACCACCCUCCUUCCUCAUACAAAGACAGAUGAAGGUCUUUUAAAUCCCCUUUAGAGCCACGCCUGCAUCAUAUGGAAAUUCCCCGCCAGGGGUUGAUUCGGAGCUGCAGCUGCUGGCCUACAUCACAGCUGCAGCAACCCCAGACCCAAGCCACAUCUGUGAUCUAUCCCAUGGCUCUCGGCAAUGUCGGAUCCUUAACCCACUUAACUCACUGAGCGAGGCCAGGGAUCGAACCUGCAUCCUCAUGGAUAGCAGUCGGGUUCUUAACCUGCUGAGCCACAAUGGAAACUCCAAAGACAGAUGAAGUUUGAAGGUGCGUAGUAGGCAUCUUGAACUUAAGUCCUAAGAGGAUGGCGAUGGGGGUCACGUCUCUGGACUUUAAAAGUUUAUUUUCUGUGUUACAAAAAUUAUCACCACACAAGUAUUUAUUUGCAGCCCAGUUUCCUACUCUGACCCUCCCCUGACACACCAACAAUUCCAACUUCGCCCACAGACAUUUUCCCCUCCCUUCUUAGGAAAAAAAUAGGAGGCCCCAUAGCAGCAGCAGGGUUCUGUGAAGUUUUAAAAAUAACUUUUAUUGAUUAUAAAAUACAUGUAGGAUACGUGUGGAUGGACAAAAUGUCCAUUAACAGGAGGAUAGAAUAGGGUUGUCAGAUAGAAUACAGAAUACUCUGUUGAAUUUGUCUUAUUUUAUUUUUUGUCUUUUGUCUUUUUAUUUUUAUUUAUUUUUUGUCUUUUUAACUUUUCUAGGGCUGCACCCGCCACAUAUGGAGGUUCCCAGGCCAGGGGUCCAAUUGGAGCUGCAGCUGCUGGCCUACACCGCAGCCACAGCAACGUGGGAUCCGAGCUGCGUCUGUGAGUAACACCACAGCUCAUGGCAACGCCGGAUCCUUAACCCACUGAGCAAGGCCAGGGACUGAACCCGCAAUCUCAUGGUUCCUAGUCGGAUUCAUUAACCAGUGAGCCACGACAGGAACUCCUCUUUUGUAUUUUUAGGGUUGCACCCUUGGCAUGUGGAGGUUCCCAGGCUAGGGGUUGAAUCGGAGCUACAGCCGCCGGCCUACGCCACAGCCAUAGCCACACCAGAUCCAAGCAGUGUCUGUGACCUACGCCAUAGCUCAUGGCAACGCCUGAUCCUUGACCUCCUGAGCUAGGCCAGGGAUCGAACCCUCAUCCUCAUGGAUACUAGUUGGGUUCGUUAACCACUGAGCAACAACGGAAAUUCCUAAAUUUGAGUCUCUGAUAAAAACACAAUACUUUUUGCAGCAAGCUCAUCUCAUGCUUAUAAAAGGGCCCACAUUGCAAGUGUACAGUUUGAUGAACUGUCUCUCACAAAGUGAACAUAUCUGUGUAAACAGCACUCAGAUCAAGAAACAGAACAUCCCAGGCUCCUCAAACUUCCCUUGUGUCCCCAUCCAGGAGCUUCCCAUCUCCCCACUAUUCUUUUUUUUUCUUUUUUCUUUUUUUUAAUUUUCCCACUGUACAGCAAGGGGGUCAGGUUAUCCUUACAUGUAUACAUUACAAUUACAUUUUCCCCCCACCCUUUGUUCUGUUGCAACAUGAGUAUCUAGACAAAGUUCUCAAUGCUAUUCAGCAGGAUCUCCUUGUAAAUCUAUUCUAAGUUGUGUCUGAUAAGCCCAAGCUCCUGAUCCCUCCCACUCCCUCCCCCUCCCAUCAGGCAGCCACAAGUCUUUUCUCCAAGUCCAUGAUUUUUUCUUUUUUCUUUUUUUUUUUUCCCACUAGUCUGACUUCCUUUUUUUUUUUUUUUUUUUCCCUUUUUAGGGCUGCACUCGAGGCAUAUGGAAGUUCCCAGGUCAGGGGUCUAAUCAGAGCUAUAGCUGCCAGCCUAUACCUCAGCCACAGCAACGUGGGAUCCAAGCCGCAUCUGCAACCCACACCACAGCUCAUGGCCACGUCGGAUCCUUAACCCACUGAGGAGGCCAGGCAUCGAACCCGCAUCCUCAUGGAUACUGGUGGGUUUCGUCACCGCUGAGCCACGAUGGGAACUCCUAUCCUGCCCCCUGACAGCAAGGAUGAGUUUUGCCUGUUUUUGAACAUCGUGUAAAUGGAUGAAUCCCAGCCGGGAUUCUCUCGGGCGUCUUUGCUUCAUCGUUACGUCUGUGAGAUCGUCCAGGUUAUGCACAGGAGUUGGGCGUUUUGGGUAACAUUAUCGUAUGGGAUAUACUUAUACUAAAAUAUGAUUUGUUGUUU